rnacentral:lncRNA from 1 species
UUUCCCAGGUGGUUUAAGUACUCUAGUUGCCUCUUACUAUCUCUUAUCUCUUCUAAGGGAUCCAUCUGAAACACAAAACUUGAAAUGAUUAGCACAAAAUAUGUAAAUAACACGAUCAAACGAACCGUCUAUCCAACCCAGUUUACGAUUUCAAACCACUUAUCGAAACCCCCAAAUUUUUUUUUUAACCCUAACUCGAUAACCCCUAUUUUAUUUUCAAUC